rnacentral:rRNA from 1 species
AGACGGGACCCGCACAAGUGGUGGAGCAUGUGGUUUAAUUCGAAGAUACACGAAGAACCUUACCUGGCCUUGACAUGGUAGGAACCCUUAAGAGAUUAGGGGGUGCUAGCUUGCUAGAACCUACACACAGGUGCUGCACGGCUGUCGUCAGCUCGUGUCGUGAGAUGUUGGGUUAAGUCCCGCAACGAGCGCAACCCUCGUCCUUAGUUGCUAACAGUUCGGCUGAGCACUCUAGGGAGACUGCCUUCGCAAGGAGGAGGAAGGUGAGGACGACGUCAAGUCAUCAUGGCCCUUACGGCCAGGGCUACACACGUGCUACAAUGGCAGGUACAGAGGGCUGCGAAGCCGCGAGGUGGAGCGAAUCCCAGAAAACCUGUCUCAGUCCGGAUUGAAGUCUGCAACUCGACUUCAUGAAGGCGGAAUCGCUAGUAACCGCGAAUCAGCAGGUCGCGGUGAAUACGUUCCCGGGCCUU